rnacentral:rRNA from 1 species
CCCUUAGAUGUUCUGGGCCGCACGCGCGCUACACUGAUGCAUUCAACGAGUCUAAAACCUGGUCUGAUAGGGCUGGGUAAUCUUUUGAAAGUGCAUCGUGAUUGGGAUAGAUGAUUGCAAUUCUUCAUCUUCAACGAGGAAUGCCUAGUAAACGCAAGUCAUCAGCUUGCAUUGAUUACGUCCCUGCCCUUUGUACACACCGCCCGUCGCACCUACCGAUUGAAUGGUCCGGUGAAAUCUCGGGACGGCGGCUUGGUCGCUUGCGUCCGACUGCUGAAACUUGAUUAAACCAUAUCAUUUAGAGGAAGGUGAAGUCGUANCA